rnacentral:rRNA from 1 species
CUACGGGAUGCAGCAGUAGAGAAUCUUCCACAAUGGGCGAAAGCCUGAUGGAGCGACACCGCGUGAUGGAUGAAGGCCUAUGGGUUGUAAACAUCUUUUAUCUGGGAAGAAGAUCUGACGGUACCAGAUGAAUAAGGACCGGCUAAUUACGUGCCAGCAGCCGCGGUAAUACGUAAGGUCCAAGCGUUAUCCGGCAUUAUUGGGCGUAAAGCGUCCGCAGGUGGUUGUAUAAGUCUGUUAUUAAAUACCGGUGCUCAACAUCGGUGCUGUAAUGGAAACUAUGCAACUAGAGGAUGGGAGAGGUAUGUGGAAUUGUGCAAGUAGGGGUAAAAUCCGUAGAUAUGCACAGGAACACCAAAAGCGAAGGCAGCAUACUGGACCAUUCCUGACACUCAGGGACGAAAGCGUGGGUAGCAAAAGGGAUUAGAUACCCCCGUAGUC